rnacentral:rRNA from 1 species
UACAGAGGGGGCCAGCGUUAUUCGGAAUUAUUGGGCGUAAAGAGCUCGUAGGCGGUCUGUCGCGUCGGUCGUGAAAACUUGGGGCUUAACCCUGAGCUUGCGGUCGAUACGGGCAUGACUGGAGUUCGGUAGGGGAGACUGGAAUUCCUGGUGUAGCGGUGAAAUGCGCAGAUAUCAGGAGGAACACCGGUGGCGAAGGCGGGUCUCUGGGCCGAUACUGACGCUGAGGAGCGAAAGCGUGGGGAGCGAACAGG